AAUCUUUGAGUUUCAGUUUCACCUUCAACCUUUUCUGUUCAUCUUUUCAUCCAAUUGUGGCUUAAUUAAAGACCAAUCUUGAAAUAGAAUCUUUAACUUGACUAAAACAAACUUCAAUCAGCUUUCAGUUACCAUGUGUUGACAAAAAAAUAAAUAAGUAAAGUUGAUUAACAUUCGAAACAAACAUAUUCUAAUUCUCAAUUCAGCUUCAUUGAUUAGCAUGACAUUCAAAGGCAACAUCAAUUGUUACACCAAUCUGACAGUCAUUGUAGUUCCAUUGUGUUCACACAAUCAACAAAUAUUUCAAGUCUUUCAUGAUGAUCCACAUUGACUCAUUAGAUGAUCCAUUAAUACAAUUAGACACAUUGUUGUAGCUUUUUGUGUUUACAUCAAGGAAUGCAAACACCAACUACUAAACUAUUUCAUUUAAUUUAUUCAAUUUAAAAUUUAUCUAUUAUGUUGAUUUUCAAACAAAAGCUAAUGACUUAAAACAGUAGCAACAAAUUAAAUUAAAAGUGAAAAUUACGGUAAUUAGUUGAUAAAAAUUAAACAAAAGCCUAACAAUGUUGAAAAAUUUAACCAAAAACGUGGGCUUAUCAACCGUUAGUCAUCAAAGUAUCUUUUAAGAUCAGCCUAGAUUAGAAUCAAUUACGUAUCUUUUACUAGCAAUAUGAGUCCUAAUCAAAGAUUAUCUUACUAUCCUAAUCCAUUUUUCGGAUACUGUUUACAAAUCUAAAAGGGUUGAUGUCCUAAAGACUUUAAUUUUUUAAAUUGAUGUUUAGUGACAAAAAAUGGUUAUCAAAUUCAGUCUCUUUUUUAUGUUGCUGUUUUGAUUGAUCUUGGAGAUGUUGAUGGAUUGGUUUAAUUCCUGUUGCAGGUUGAUGCCAUGAGAUGAAUAAAAAUGAAUCCGAAACCGUCAACCUAAUAUUUGGUGGAAAAGUGUAAAAGAAAGUGAAAUCUUAUUCUUUAAGCGUAAGCCUAAUCUUAUUUUCUUACUUUAUUGGAAGAUUUUUCUGGUCAAAGAUCAUCUAUUAAAGACUAAUUUAAGUUUGCUCCAUUAAUUACAUUAUUGGUACAAUUACCAUUUAUUUAAAGGCUUGAUUGUUAAAGAUGAGAAUUAUUUUAAUUAGAUUCUCCCUGCUUUCUUGAUUGAUUAGGAUUGAAUCAUUAAAAGUGGCCAUUAAUGAUGCAAAUGUAAACCUAACCCGGUCUGUGUAAUAACUCAAAACAAAAACUUGCUCAAUGAUUGCAUGAUGGAAAGUUAUAUGACUAUUUGGCUGGAAUCGAUG